CAAACGAUAAAGUUUGUUUUGCAAAUGUCUUGCCACAGACACCGCGGUGAUGAACGGACUCUUUCAUUAUGAACUGAGGGUGGAGAAACAACUCCACAAUGUCCUUCUAGAUACAUAUCUGGAAACAUUCCUGGGUGGUGUGAUGGGGACAGAAGUUAUGAUUUUGGCAAUUUGAGACUGAGAGAUUAAGUGAAACUCCUGAAGGCUGACAGCUGGAAGGGCAGAAAGUGUCUUCUCUGCAUCACCAAAUGGCUGCCUUCUCCUUCCCAUGUAAAUUUGAGGGAUGCAGAAUUCAUUUGGCUCAUAUUUGAAGAGAUACACCCCAUCAAAGUGGAGAAGGCAUGGUGGCAGCUUGCUUCAUGGAAGACAGUCAUGUGGCUGGGACUCCUCUACAGUCCGUCAUAGUGGGGAAGGCAUGGAUGGCAGUGGAUGACUUCAUGGAGGAUGAGUGUGCGGGUUCUGCAUAUAAGUGAGAUCAUGUGAUUUCUGUCUUUCUGACCUGGUUUAUUCCACUUAAGAGCAAUAUUUAUAAAAAGAAUAAAUUUUAAGCACAAGGAAGAAAGAAAACAAGAAUUAUGAAAUCUUGUACAUGGAACAUCACAGUCCUAAGAAAGAAAAUAUUCCUGCCUAUGAUGAACAAAAAUGAAAAAGAGCUGCCACGAUUAUUUCUUUGAACUAAUAAUACUAAAUGCAUAUUCAUGGUUAUCUUGGGACCAGAGUGAACAUGGCAUGGAAGAUCCAUUCUUUUUUUCCCUCUAGCCCCAAUAUCUCACCAAUUGGAUGCAAGUGAAUAAUUGCAAAUACAUUUUAAAAUUGUUUGACAUUCUGUUUCUAAUCCAAGAAAAGAAAUAGCCUUGUUUCCUAUAGUGAUAAGAAGUCAAAAAUAUGAAGCAUAUAAAUUAAAUUUGAAUUUUCUUUGCUUGUAACAUCCUUAAAUGAGUGAAAUUUUAUGAAUUAAAUUGUAGAUUAUAUAUUUUACUUAGAGCAUGGAACAACCUCUGGAAUAGAUUAUAUAUACAUUGGGCUAUAAAACAAGACUUAAUACUUUUAAUACCAAAGUCAUUCCAAUGAUAUUUAAUACCACAAUGGUAUAUGUCUAGGAAUAAGUAAUAGGAAGAAAUGUGGAAAUUUCAUAAAUAAAUAAAAGUUAAGCAA